CUGAUGUCUGAGGACUUUGGAGACGCGGAUAUGUGGGCCAGGUAUCAGAGGCAGCUGGAAGUGUCUAUUUCCUCCUGAGAUGGAGCUGAGAGUCGAUUACAGGCGCCGCUGCCGCUGCUGCACAAACACCCAUGACAGUUUACUACCGGCAAUUUCAGACAUCUCCUGCUCACGGCCUAAAUAUAGCAAAUGAAGAUAGCAGACAGGUUCCAGAGCUACAGUCAGGACGGCAGUGUGUGUGUGUGUGUGUGUGUGUGUGUGUGUGUGUGUGUGUGUGUUGUCUUGCCAAAGGGACAGAGCGGGGUCCACGCGCUUUGAAGUUGGAGACGUGAUGAGAGGCUGACGGCAUGAUGGAGAGAGAAGCAGCGCUGCUUCCUCUGCGUGGAGCUCCACACACACACACUCGCACACACACACACACACACUCGCACACGCAGAGAGAUAAACAACGUCUACUGAAGCAUCAGGUAGCGCCUCUGCUCCCGUCUGAAUUAGAGACAACAAACGUGCGCUCACUCUUUGAGGCUCACACGCCGCACGCAGAUUUCCGCAGCGCUGCCUCAGAGCUUUGCCCCCAGAUGACCUGGAUGACUUAUAACCGCCACUGAAUCAUCAGUCCUCGCUCCUCUCCCCCCUCCCCUCCCCACCGCUUCUCGCCAGACCCGGCCUGGACGGCGGAGUGGCGGCCAUGCGUUCAGAGGGAGCCGCCACCUCUGGCUGUUCCAGCAGGCUGCUUUGAAUUAGAGCCCCCUCCCUGCUGGGAUGCAAGCCUGUACUUCCUGUUUGGGGGGAAUUUCAGCUCAUGCGUGUGCGUGUGUGUGAGCUCGCCAGCAGCGGCCCAUCCGUUUGUGGGGGCUCUCCCUACAAUGAAGUCCAGAUGCAUUUCAAAAAAACGGAGAGAAAAAAUAAAAAAAAGGA